UACGUAGGGGGCAAGCGUUGUCCGGAUUUAUUGGGCGUAAAGAGCGUGUAGGCGGCCAGGGAGGUCCGUUGUGAAAACUCGAGGCUCAACCUCGAGACGCCGAUGGAAACCCCCUGGCUAGAGUCCGGAAGAGGAGAGUGGAAUUCCUGGUGUAGCGGUGAAAUGCGCAGAUAUCAGGAAGAACACCCGUGGCUAAGGCGGCUCUCUAGUACGGUACUGGACGCUGAGACGCGAAAGCGUGGGGAGCGAUCCGG
rnacentral:rRNA from 1 species